rnacentral:rRNA from 1 species
UACGAGAGGGUGCAAGCGUUGUCCGGAAUUAUUGGGCGUAAAGAGCUCGUAGGCGGUUUGUCACGUCGGAUGUGAAACCCUGAGGCUCAACCUCAGGCCUGCAUUCGAUACGGGCAGACUAGAAUUCGGCAGGGAGACGUGGAAUUCCUGGUGAGCGGUGAAAUGCGCAGAUAUCAGGAGGAACACCGGUGGCGAAGGCGGGUCUCCUGGGCCGAUGAUGACGGUGGAGGAGCGAAAGCGUGGGGGAGCAAACAGG